UAUGGAGGGGGCGAGCGUUAUUCGGAAUUAUUGGGCGUAAAGGGCGCGUAGGCGGCCUUGCAAGUCAAAGGUGAAAUCCCUCGGCUCAACUGAGGAACUGCCUUUGAAACUGCAAGGCUUGAGGCCGGGAGGGGGUAGCGGAAUUCCCAGUGUAGCGGUGAAAUGCGUAGAUAUUGGGAGGAACACCAGUGGCGAAGGCGACUACCUGGACCGGUUCUGACGCUGAUGCGCGAAAGCGUGGGUAGCAAACAGG
rnacentral:rRNA from 1 species